rnacentral:rRNA from 1 species
UACGAAGGGGGCUAGCGUUGUUCGGAAUUACUGGGCGUAAAGCGCACGUAGGCGGAUUUGUAAGUCAGGGGUGAAAUCCCGGGGCUCAACCUCGGAACUGCCUUUGAUACUGCAAGUCUUGAGUCCGAUAGAGGUGAGUGGAAUUCCUAGUGUAGAGGUGAAAUUCGUAGAUAUUCGGAAGAACACCAGUGGCGAAGGCGACUCACUGGACACGUAUUGACGCUGAGGUGCGAAAGCGUGGGGAGCAAACAGG